GGUGGCGUCAUUAGUUACCAGGUGGACAACAACAACAGUUUAAGUAGAAAUAAGGGAAGCAACCGAAGGGGCAGGAGAGCCUCCGGAGAGGCCGAGUAGACCUUGGUGUUAACAGAUAACACAUAUCAGAAAGCCGACAGAGGGACAGACCCUGUGUGUGUGUGUGUGUGUGUGUGUGUGUGUGUGUGUGUGUGUGUGUGUGUGUGUGUGUGUGUGUGUGUGUGUGUGUGUGUGUGUGUGUAGGCAUACAUGGUUUACAAAACCAAUCUUCAGGCUUACUCACCAGCAUUACAAGACUCCUGCGUUACAAGAAAUUGGUUAAGCAACCAAUUUUGAUGGCAGGACGUGUUUGUGAGACCAAGACGUGUGUGUGUCCAACAGCGCCACCACAGGCUGCAAGUGACAUUGCAAGCUACACACAAUCCUGCGAAAAUAUACACAAUUUCCCGCGAAAAUAUACACAACGCGGGAACUUCAGCGGGCUUGCAGUGUGGACCAGCCGGACUAGCGAGUGGGAUGAACUUGGAAAAAGAGAGAGACCCGAGUCUCCAAGCAGUCAAGUCUCAAGUAGUUCAAGU